UUCUUAUCAAGAGAGGUGGAGGGAAAGGCCCUGCGAAACCUCGGCAACAGGUUCUGAUUGAAUACUGUGCCAAUUCCUGCGGACGAUUAAGUCUGAAAGAUGAGAA
rnacentral:ncRNA from 2 species